GUAAAUUUUAUUCACAGAGUUGGCUCUUAGGAAAACUGGGCUUCGGGUCAUUUAAAUGUUAGUUUGCUACACUGUAUCUUGAUAAACUCAAGAAAAAGAGAAAGUAUAAUAUUUUAACAUGGUAAGGGAUUAAAUUAAGAUUUUAAAUCCUUGGUUUUACUGACUUCAAAAUGUUCCCUAUGGAAUCUGGAAAGUAGAUUAUUGUCUGUAUUCCCAGGCUGCACAGUCAGCAACUGCUCUUAGGAGAGGGUGGGGGAGGAGAGGGAAUCCUUGCCAUUUAUCAAGGGGCAGCAGAUAAAAAGACUGCAGGUUUGGCUGCCUGACAAGGGAAGGUGGCUGUCCCAGUUCUCAGGAUUUGGGCUCGUUUGCUUGUAAUCGUAGUAAAAAUACUUUUGCUGCCAAAA